rnacentral:rRNA from 1 species
AUUGAACGCUGGCGGCAGGCCUAACACAUGCAAGUCGAGCGGAUGACGGGAGCUUGCUCCUUGAUUCAGCGGCGGACGGGUGAGUAAUGCCUAGGAAUCUGCCUGGUAGUGGGGGACAACGUUUCGAAAGGAACGCUAAUACCGCAUACGUCCUACGGGAGAAAGCAGGGGACCUUCGGGCCUUGCGCUAUCAGAUGAGCCUAGGUCGGAUUAGCUAGUAGGUGAGGUAAUGGCUCACCUAGGCGACGAUCCGUAACUGGUCUGAGAGGAUGAACAGUCACACUGGAACUGAGACACGGUCCAGACUCCUACGGGAGGCAGCAGUGGGGAAUAUUGGACAAUGGGCGAAAGCCUGAUUCAGCCAUGCCGCGUGUGUGAAGAAGGUCUUCGGAUUGUAAAGCACUUUAAGUUGGGAGGAAGGGUUGUACGAUAAUACCGUGCAAUUUUGACGUUACCGACAGAAUAAGCACCGGCUAACUCUGUGCCAGCCGCCGCCGUAA